rnacentral:sRNA from 1 species
AUGCUGAGUACAGUACAACUCGUCCGUAGUCGCGGAACCCCACGGUGGCCAUAAAUCUCUGACAUAAAAAAUGUGGUUUUACUGAGAGCCCAAUCACAAACGAACGGAGGCUUCGGAUUCAAUGCGCAAUACCUAUUAACUACGUGGUAUUAUGUGCGACAUUUUCCUGAUGCCGUUGGAGCUGAUCCUUCCUCGCGAACCCUUUGUGGUUUUUGCACCCAGGCAGCUCACACUUAUACAACUUUUGGUGCUUCUCCAGAUGCGACCUAGCAAUGCCAAUUUGUGUCAGGG